ACGGGAGGCAGCAGUGGGGAAUAUUGCACAAUGGGGGAAACCCUGAUGCAGCGACGCCGCGUGAACGAUGCAGUAUUUCGGUAUGUAAAGUUCUAUCAGCAGGGAAGAUAAUGACGGUACCUGACUAAGAAGCACCGGCUAAAUACGUGCCAGCAGCCGCGGUAAUACGUAUGGUGCAAGCGUUAUCCGGAUUUACUGGGUGUAAAGGGUGUGUAGGCGGCAUGGCAAGUCAGAAGUGAAAGCCCGGGGCUCAACUCCGGGGCUGCUUUUGAAACUGCUGUGCUGGAGUCCAGGAGGGGCAAGCGGAAUUCCUAGUGUAGCGGUGAAAUGCGUAGAUAUUAGGAAGAACACCGGUGGCGAAGGCGGCUUGCUGGACUGGAACUGACGCUGAGGCACGAAAGCGUGGGGAGCAAACAGGAUUAGAUACCCUGGUA
rnacentral:rRNA from 1 species